CUGGAGCCUAUCCCAGCCGUCUCCGGGCAGUAGGUGGGGGACACCCUGAAUCGGUUGCCAGCCAAUCGCAGGGCACACAGAAACGAACAACCAUUCGCACUCACACCUAGGGACAAUUUAGAGUGUUCAAUCAGCCUGCCAUGCAUGUUUUUGGAAUGUGUGAGUAAACCGGAGCACCCGGAGAAAACCCACGCAGGCCCGGGGAGAACAUGCAAACUCCACACAGGGAGGCCGGAGCUGGAAUCGAACCCGGUACCUCUGCACUGUGAGGCCAACGUGCUAACCACUGGACUACCGGGCCGCCGCGUCCUUCAUAUUUUCAGUUUUAAAAAUGACAACAACUACAAAAAAAAAGUUUUACUGAUGCAUUCACUACCAUUUUGAGUGAAGGAAUCCACUUUUUUUGGUCUGAUUCGUGUCACAUUUUCAUGAGCUUUUGAGCCUUCAAAAAUGUGAAUGUUGAGGAGUUUCACCCCGAUUGGACAGUUCCUCAUACGUACACUUUAAAUAUCAGAAACAUUGUUAACGGAAGUUGCCACGAAAAAAAAGCUUUGUGUUCCCUUUACUUGAAACUAUUUUGUGGGUCCGAGUCCAGAGUGAGAUUUGAUCAUCUGCGCGCCACAUGUGAUGUGAAAUGCUCUGCACGGCAGCCUCGGCGCGACGUUAUCGUUCACUUUUCGCCAUCUUAUCCUGUUAGUAUGUGUGGUUGUUUUUUGCAGAGGGGCGGGAAGGGUCACAUGACACUCCAAUGCCGCCAUGUUUUUUGGACCUGGGAGACUCCCUCCAGGGCAAGACAGGGAAUCUUGAGCGACGUGUGUGCACCGUCUGGUUUUAUAGUUGAUCAUUGAGGUCAGUGAGUAGCAACAACUUGUGAGCAUGUGCAGUAGAAGAAAUAGAAGACGACGACGGAGAAGAAAGCUGAGCUGCUGCAGCUCCACUUUGUUGAGCAGUCGAGGAGGAGGAGGUGGAGAAGAGAAAAAAAAAGGGUGUGGACGACAUCUGUGCACCUGGAUCUGUUGGAGCUGCAGAAAUUUUAACUGAGAUUGAAGAGGCUGCAGGGCCAAAGUCGCAGCCGACAAACUCUUAGGACAUGCGAAAGGGACGCCACCCUGCAUUUGGACACAUAUUGAGCGCUGCGGUGUGCUUGAAAAGCUGAUGUGAUGUCACGUUGCACCACAAGGUGGAGAGUAGACAAUCACAAAGCAAAGAAAAACGUGGACCAGCAUGUUGAGCUGAGAGCAAAGAGACGUCCGCGAGUUACACGUCGAGUCAAUUUAUUGUGCAGACAAAGAUGUUUUUGGCAUGGAACCUACCAGUGAGAGAGACAAGUCGCUGCUGGGUUUUUCGUGUAUUAAAAAAAAAAAAGUUGUCAUAAUGGUGUAUUGAAAGAGUGUAAAUGUCUUCCAUUUUUCAGACUGGCCCAAAGUUUGGCUUCAGGACCUUAACUUGAAAUGUGACUUGUUACCAGCAGAUGGCUCAUCUCUUCACCUCAUGGCACUGCGGUGGUUCCAUCUGGAUGACAAAGCACAGUUGGUCGAGCGUGAUCUACGCCAACAGGCCAAGCUGUGACUGGUCCAGUGACAAACGCAAGUUGAUCAAACCUGCCAACACCACAAACGCGGGAGCCAUCAAGCUCUUAUUUCGUAUCUUUGAACGGUAA